ensembl:ncRNA B0457.19 ncRNA
AUUCUUUUUUCCAACGAACGAAGACAGAUUUUCGAGACAGCUGCAGUUGGAAAGCAGCACGAUCGCGGCCUCAAUUCAUUCAAAAAAUGAGAGGAAAGGCAGUCAUUUGAUAGUGUGAAAUGAUGCGUUUCGACAAGAAGGCAGCACGCCGUGAGCGGCGUCCGGGGCAUGAUUUCCCCCUCCGGUAGAAAAAUGGUAGAAUAACUGGCAGACAUGGAGGUCGGCUAAUGAAUGUUCUCUUUUCGACAGCACUUCGUUACAAAAAAACGGGCACAAAUGACAAACGACCUUGUGUAGACAACGGGAGGCUGAUCGCGCACACGAAGGCAAUAUCAUCAUCAUUUUUAUAGC